UACGAACUGUGCGAACGUUAUUCGGAAUCACUGGGCUUACAGGGUGCGUAGGCGGCUUGUUAAGUAGGGUGUGAAAGCCCCCGGCUCAACCGGGGAAUUGCGCCCUAAACUGGCGAGCUGGAGUGAGAUAGGGGUGUGUGGAACUUCCGGUGGAGCGGUGAAAUGUGUUGAUAUCGGAAGGAACGCCGGUGGCGAAAGCGACACACUGGAUCUUGUCUGACGCUGAGGCACGAAAGCCAGGGGAGCGAACGGGG
rnacentral:rRNA from 1 species